GACAGAGGGUGCAAACGUUGCUCGGAAUUACUGGGCGUAAAGCGCGUGUAGGCGGAUCGGAAAGUCGGGCGUGAAAUCCCCAGGCUCAACCUGGGAACUGCACCCGAAACUCCCGGUCUUGAGUGGUGGAGAGGGAAGUGGAAUUCCUGGUGUAGAGGUGAAAUUCGUAGAUAUCAGGAGGAACACCAGUGGCGAAGGCGGCUUCCUGGACCGGUAUUGACGCUGAGGCGCGAAAGCUAGGGGAGCAAACGGG
rnacentral:rRNA from 1 species